rnacentral:rRNA from 1 species
UACGUAGGGGGCUAGCGUUGUCCGGAAUCAUUGGGCGUAAAGCGCGUGUAGGCGGUUCGGUAAGUCCGCUGUGAAAGUCGGGGGCUCAACCCUCGAAUGCCGGUGGAUACUGUCGGACUAGAGUACGGAAGAGGCGAGUGGAAUUCCUGGUGUAGCGGUGAAAUGCGCAGAUAUCUGGAGGAAUACCGGUGGCGAAGGCGGCAUCCUGGACCGAGAUUGACACUGAUGAGCGAAAGCUAGGGGAGCAAACGGG